ACUAAAUCUUAGGGUUGGGAAACUUUGGUGUAAUUCCGGGACUGUGCCGCAACUGUAAAGCAAUUGGAGAUAAUUGGAACACCCUAAAAAUCCUAAAAAUCCCCAAUUGAGUAAGUCAGAACGCCAACUCUAGA
rnacentral:ncRNA from 2 species